GUUGCAAGGGCACUUUAACUCGUCUCAAACUCUUUCGACUAGAAAUUUAUUUUGUAGUCUUAAAUCAAAUUCUCAUCUGAUGAAUUUUGUGUCUUGUUUUUAACAAUUCAUAUCUACAUGAUAUUACUUGGAAUAUGUUUAUUCAGAUACAGUAAAUACUGAUAGCACAACAGUAUGCAUAAGUCAUAACUAGUUUACUGUAUAUUAAAUAUAGA